GAGGAGUUAGUUAACUCAUAACAUCACCUUGUCAAGAUGAAAUAACGGGUUAAACCCCCGUACACCUCU
rnacentral:tRNA from 2 species